GACACGCAAGUUUCACAGGUUUGAUCGCCUCAUUCUGAAGGCUGUGGUCCUUUUAGUUCUGCAUCUGAAAUGUGAGAUGGGUAAAUCAGUGGUGUGAUGACACACAGGCUACCAGCAUCACUGCUAGGAGGAGACCACCAGCUGACACUGACCCCAAGAUGAGCGCAAUGGUCCUAGGUUGACAUGCUGGAGACGGUAAAUAGAUGAGCAUUAAUAAUAGCAAUACACACAUCAUCAACAUAAUCAUCAUAUU
rnacentral:lncRNA from 1 species